rnacentral:rRNA from 1 species
UGGGAACCUUCCCUAUGGUUCGGAAUAGCCCAGGGAAACUUGGGGUAAUACCGGAUAAGCCCUUCGGGGAAAGAUUUAUCGCCAUUGGAUGGGCCCGCGUCGGAUUAGCUAGUUGGUGAGGUAACGGCUCACCAAGGCAACGACGGGUAGCUGGUCUGAGAGGAUGGCCAGCCACAUUGGGACUGAGAUACGGCCCAGACUCCUACGGGAGGCAG